CAGACCUCUCCUUGGUCUCAUUCUCCUCAAUGAGAAGUAUUUCAUGGACUUACGGAGCAGCAUUGUUGUUAGUAGCCAGCCCCCUCUGAGAAGCAACAAGCCAUGUGUCUACGCUUUGAGAAUUCGAAUGGAGGGCAUUGAAAAGGAACUUGCUCACAAAAGAAUCGAGACAGGUUCACACAGAAUCUUUCUGCAUUCAGACGAGUAGUGAACGACUCUGCAGAGACUACACUGAAAGGGUAAAACAGGUUCUGCAGCGAGGACAUUUUGUAAUAAAU